GAUUAAAUGUAUAUCACUUUGAGCUCGCCCCAUCUUGUCCAAUCUCGGAAGCUUAGCACGGUCGGGCCUGGUUAGUACUUGGAUGGGAGACUGUCUGGGAAUACCAGGUGCUGUAAGUC
rnacentral:rRNA from 11 species